AGGGAGAGCGAUUGAAGAGAGAACCUGAGAGAAUGAAUGAGGAGAGAGUUCGUGAGCGGUAAGCGAAUGAGAGGGGAGGACGAUUGAGCUCUGUUUUGCGUCCUCACUUUUUUUUUCUUUUAUUUUUUUAUUUAUUCAUUGCUUUAUUCCUUUUCUUUAAAACAGAAUUUUAAAUCCCAUUAAGUGAAUGUUUAGAGUUUUUAAGUAGUCAUUAACUGUGGUUUAUUGUGGUUUAUUGGUAUCUGUUUCUAGUUGAG
rnacentral:lncRNA from 1 species